rnacentral:rRNA from 1 species
UACGGAGGGUGCGAGCGUUAUCCGGAUUCACUGGGUUUAAAGGGUGCGUAGGUGGGCUUGUAAGUCAGUGGUGAAAUCUCCGGGCUUAACCUGGAAACUGCCAUUGAUACUACAGGUCUUGAAUUUUCUGGAGGUAAGCGGAAUAUGUCAUGUAGCGGUGAAAUGCUUAGAUAUGACAUAGAACACCAAUUGCGAAGGCAGCUUGCUACAGGAAUAUUGACACUGAGGCACGAAAGCGUGGGGAUCAAA